rnacentral:lncRNA from 1 species
AGUUCCCUGGCACCGGUCAUCUGUCUGCUCAGUGAGUGGGAGGGCUGGUACCUUCUCUUGUUUCUGAGACCCAGGUAGCAAAGGAGUUUGAGUUUGCAGUUGGAAUCAAAGGCUCUCCAACAAGGAAACAACUAAGUGUGUUCCUGCAAGACCUCUCUUUCCCUAGGGGAAAACAGAGACAUCUCAUCACAGAUAGCUCUAGGUUUGCCUUGGCCAUGAUGUCCAAGUGGUCUGCUUGGUUCCAUGCCUGCGUCUGAGCUGGCUCUGUGGGAGGUGCCAAGCUGCCUUCGACACUGUGCAUGGCACUUUAAAGCUCUCAAUAAAUAUUUUUCAAGUGAAGUCAAUGAAGCAAGAAAGAAUCUCAACUAGUUUUGAGUUUUGGUUGAAGAGAAGGCUCACAGAGGCUCAGGGAAGCCCUCAGGUUUCAUGGGGACAGCCUGAAGAAUGACCUUCAUAUAAUGGCCACACAGCCACUUGGGCCACCGGAGCUCACCGUGAGACACACUCACCAUCUCGUCUUCAUGUCUGGUGCUCCCUUUAGUUUUCUGGCAAGAAGCUAGGGAGAAGGUGACUUGAGCUCCUCGUGUGUUUUGAUCACUCAACAAAGAAGACAAAAGGGCGUUUCAUAACCUGACAGUGGGAGAGCACAUUAAAAAGGUAAGGUUUCUUUGGUUUUCUUCUAAUUUCAGGUGUUCUCUUGUUCUUGAUAAUCCAGAAACCUUAAACAUAUUUAUUACACACCAACAGGAAGAGCUGGAAUUUGAUUUGGGUUAACCAGGUUUUAAAAAAUACAGAAUCUCUUUAUAGCCAUCUUUAAAGAGAUACAUAGGAUUCACCCCUUGAUACAGUGGUUCUCAAACUCUGGCCCGCAUCACAAUUUGGGGAGUUUGUUAAAACAGGUUCCAGGCCCCACCCUUAGAGAUUGUGAUUUAGAGGGUCUGAGAUGAAGCCUGUUUGGGUAUUUAAAGCUCCCCAGGUGAUUCUGAUGCCUACCAAAGCUUGGGAACCCUAAAUUAUUGUAGAUGUUCUAUGAGCUAUGCCAUAAGGAAAAGCAGAAUAGAGAGGUUCUGUCAGAAGCUCUAAGAGUAAGCAUCCAGUUUUUUGAUUGGAGGGAGUAGACUAUGGAAGAUUUAAAACCAGGCUGGAGGCCACAUGCCUUAAGGGCUGGCUCCCAUCACCCCCACCCCCAAGCUUACGAUAGAGUGACUCCCAGUGGAACUGUACUCUGGGGUUAGCACUGUAGAUGUUUAGGGGAAAAGGCAGAAAAAUCAGCUUGACUAAAUAGUAAUUUUAAAAAAUCCCUUAGACCCUAAUGCUCUGGAGUAGAACAAAUGCUUUAAAUGGCAAGAUGAAGGCAGAAAGGCCACCAUAGUCCUGAGCAUCUAGGAGACUCUGACACCCGUGGACAGUUGACCAGGAGGCCAUUGCGUAUCUUGCAGAGCCAGGGCGAAUGUGAGAAGCCAGUGUCUCUUACCUCCAGGGCACUGAGGUCAGACCA